rnacentral:rRNA from 1 species
UGGGGAAUUUUGCGCAAUGGGGGAAACCCUGACGCAGCGACGCCGCGUGGAGGAUGACGGCCUUCGGGUUGUAAACUCCUGUCAGAAGGGACGAAAUCCCGCAAGGGACUGACGGUACCUUCAGAGGAAGCCCCGGCUAACUACGUGCCAGCAGCCGCGGUAAUACGUAGGGGGCAAGCGUUGCUCGGAAUUACUGGGCGUAAAGGGUGAGUAGGCGGUCGAGCAAGUCAAGGAUGAAAUCCCGAGGCUCAACUUCGGAAUUGUUCUUGAAACUGUUCGGCUUGAGGAUAGUUGAGGAGAGUGGAAUUCCCGGUGGAGCGGUGAAAUGCGUAGAUAUCGGGAGGAACACCUGAGGCGAAGGCGGCUCUCUAAGCUACUCCUGACGCUGAAUCACGAAAGC